CCCGCCAUGCCCGGCCCGGCCGCGGGCAGCAGGGCCCGGGUCUACGCCGAGGUGAACAGCCUGAGGAGCCGCGAAUAUUGGGACUACGAGUCUCACGUCCCGAGCUGGGGUAAUCAAGAUGAUUACCAACUGGUUCGAAAACUUGGUCGGGGAAAGUAUAGUGAAGUAUUUGAGGCCAUUAACAUCACUAACAAUGAGAGAGUGGUGGUAAAAAUUCUCAAGCCAGUGAAGAAAAAGAAGAUAAAACGAGAGGUUAAGAUUCUGGAGAACCUCCGUGGUGGCACAAAUAUUAUUAAGUUGAUUGAUACCGUGAAGGACCCUGUGUCAAAGACACCAGCUUUGGUAUUUGAAUAUAUCAAUAAUACAGAUUUUAAGCAACUUUACCAGAUCCUGACAGACUUUGAUAUCCGGUUUUAUAUGUAUGAACUACUUAAAGCUCUGGAUUACUGCCACAGCAAAGGAAUCAUGCACAGGGAUGUGAAACCUCACAAUGUCAUGAUAGAUCACCAACAGAAAAAGCUGCGACUGAUAGACUGGGGUCUGGCCGAGUUCUAUCACCCUGCUCAGGAGUACAAUGUCCGUGUAGCCUCGAGAUACUUCAAGGGACCAGAGCUCCUCGUGGACUAUCAGAUGUAUGAUUAUAGCUUGGACAUGUGGAGUUUGGGCUGUAUGUUAGCCAGCAUGAUCUUUCGAAAGGAACCCUUCUUCCACGGACAGGACAACUACGACCAGCUUGUUCGCAUUGCCAAGGUUCUGGGUACAGAUGAGCUGUAUGGGUAUCUGAAGAAAUAUCACAUAGACCUAGAUCCACACUUCAACGAUAUCCUGGGACAACAUUCACGAAAACGCUGGGAAAACUUUAUCCAUAGUGAGAACAGACACCUUGUCAGCCCUGAGGCCCUAGAUCUUCUGGACAAACUUCUGCGAUACGACCAUCAACAGAGACUGACUGCCAAAGAGGCCAUGGAGCACCCCUACUUCUACCCCGUGGUGAAGGAGCAGUCCCAGCCGUGUGCAGAUAACGCUGUGCUUUCCAGCGGCCUCACGGCAGCCCGGUGAAGACUGGAAGGCGACGGGUCUGUUGCGGUUCCUCCCACUUUUCCAUAAGCAGAACAAGAACCAAAUCAAACGUCUUAACGUGUGUAGAGAGAUCACGUGCCGUGGGCAGACACAAAACGGUGGCAGGUUUGGCGAACAUGAACUAGACCAGCUGAAGGGCAGCCCACCACCGUGUAUCAAACCUCACUUCCGAAUGUAAAAGGUUCACACGCCUUUGGCUUCCUGUUGACUUCCUCCUGACCCAGAAAGCAUGGGAAAUGUGAAGGGUGACUGUGGGAACCCAGGUGCGGACGUUCAGUUUUUGAAGCGAGUAUGGGGGGGAAAGCAGAGAGGCCCUUCAAGGCCACCCCGUCACAGUGUUCCUCCGAUCAGCUGUCGAGUCUGAGCAGCUCCUCAGGUGUGGAAACUUGAGACUGCACGCAAGGGUCCACAGGCCCUGCUCUUUCUAAGGCCAACAGGACAUCGAGUGGAUGGACGUGGUGCUCCCCAGCUCCUUCAGCAGCAUCGUGUUCUCGAGUGUUCUGUCUCGUCAGGCCGUUUUUCACUCAAGGCUCUGUGACCUUUGGUUGGUUGCAGACCCCUGGAACGACAUCUCAGUGUGUUGCCAUGAAUAUACCCCGGGAGCUCCUGUGGGUGCCAUGCCUCAACUGUGGUUUCUGUCAAGACAGCGUGCUACUCUGUGUUGGCCUGCUGGCACUUAGGACCCUUCCGGGUGGGAAGGGUCUGUUUGGAGCAGUUAACAGUAAUAUGUUUGGGAAUUCUCUCAAUGGCAUGAUCAUGGCUUUGUCCUUAAAUCUCCCUUCUCAAUCAAGUGUCUCUUUAACUUCCCAGUGGGAAGGUCUUGUUUUCCAGAAACCUCUUGGGCACGCCAAAUACUCUUGCCUCUUGUGGGUGAUUGCUGUUGGGUGGGAGAGUGUUUGGUUGUGGAAUGAAGGCGUCUUUGUUUGUUAUUUUGACCUCUAGGAACUUGCUAAGCCAAGAGCAAUCUAAAGCUUACCUAUGUGUUUGGAAGUUCUGAUCAUCAAUCCAUAUCUUGCAAUAGUGCUCUUUAUGUUGGGCUGCUUGAGGUAAUAUAUUCAUCGGAUUUACUUGAUUACCGAAGGGAUAUAGGCCCAUGGUAAAACAAUUCAGAUAACAAAGUCAUUGUUGACAGUACUUCCCCCUGUCCCGCCACCACACAUACAUAGAUACUUCUUUCUUCCCUUGGAGCUAAUGUUGAAAUUGGGCCUUGAUCUUCCCAUUUUCCCCUAUACAUUUAUUAACAUUUUUGA